rnacentral:rRNA from 1 species
AAAAGAAACUAACAAGGAUUCCCCUAGUAACGGCGAGUGAAGCGGGAAGAGCUCAAAUUUGUAAUCUGGCACCUUCGGUGUCCGAGUUGUAAUCUCGAGAAGUGUUUUCCGCGCCGGACCGCAUAUAAGUCUGUUGGAAUACAGCGUCAUAGUGGUGAGAACCCCGUAACUGAUGCGGAUGCCCGGUGCUUUGUGAUACACUUUCGAAGAGUCGAGUUGUUUGGGAAUGCAGCUCAAAUUGGGUGGUAAAUUCCAUCUAAAGCUAAAUAUUGGCGAGAGACCGAUAGCGAACAAGUACCGUGAGGGAAAGAUGAAAAGCACUUUGGAAAGAGAGUUAACAGUACGUGAAAUUGUUGGAAGGGAAACGCUUGAAGUCAGACUUGCUAUUUGGAGUUCAGCCGCAAGGUGUAUUCUUCGAUUUGCAGGCCAGCAUCAGUUUUCUGGGGUGGAAAAGGGUAUUGAGAAGGUAGCAGUUUCGGCUGUGUUAUAGCUCUUUGCUGGAUUCAUCCUGGGGGACUGAGGAACGCAGCGCGCUUUUUGCAAGGCCCUCGGGCUUUUCGUGCUUAGGAUGCUGGUGGAAUGGCUUUAAACGACCCGUCUU